rnacentral:lncRNA from 1 species
UUUAUGUAUGUGUGCACGUAUCAAGUCUGUUCCAUAGGAUCAGGCAUCCUGGGACCAGGGUGUUACCCAUCUAUUUAAAUUUAAAAGUUUGUUGAGACUUUGGAUCGGAUAACCCUGGAGAUCCUGGAAAAUCUAUUGAGGAGCUAAUAUUACAAUUAGUAGGUUUGGCCCAGCGGACUAUACUUAUCCUGUCCUUUUCUCUCGUGUAUUAGGCACGGUUUGUUAUUUGUUUUCUCAACCUUCCUCAAGAGGAGAUGUACUCCAGUCAAGAAUUUGUGUCUUUGACAGACUUUUUGUUGUUCACAUCACUUAGUUCCUGAAUACGUAUGCUGUCAGGUAAUCGAUUGUUUAUCUUCUUUCCGUCCUGUAUCUCUUGGAGUGAUGAUUUUUUGAUCUGAUAUCUCCCUUUGUUUUGACAAACUCGGAAAAGCAGAGAUCGGAGCGUCUUAUCCUUUCCUGGUGAGUUUCGCAUUUUUAACGAGCAUCCAUAUGUGUAUCGCAUCCUGCUUUUAUAUUUUAACUUGAUUUCGUUUGCCCCUUUCAUAUAUUUUGCCCAGGGAGGCUCGAUCAAGAUCUGGAGAAUUAGGUCGAUCUUUGCUUAGUAAAUGCAUCUGCUUUUUGUGAAGGUGUAAUUUCUCGACCGGUCUUCUCGCCUGAACGCACUUUCCUCAGUUUAGAUUUUUUUUGUUUUAUGGUUGAUGUGCUGGCAAGCCUCUAUACGAGCUUGGUCCGUCGUACAACCUGUUAGGCAAACAAUAAACCUGAGCGCGCUAUAAUAGCUUAUGCUUGGAUUUGUUUCAUUUUCACUCAAGUAUUUACGCUCUCCUUUUUUUUACAGGGAGAGUGGUGACUGAUCGGCUGAGGAUAGCUGUUCUAGGUAAUAUACAGUGAUUUUCUUGUUGACCUUAAGCCAAGAUGUCAUUGUAUUUAUUAUAUUUUUUCUUUUUAUAUAGAUGGUGCAUGAUCAAGUGCCUGCUCCAUCAUAUGAAUUAUCCGUUUGUCAGUUAGCUGAUCGAGAUUUGUAUGAGCCUGAUACUAGUAAAAAAGUUAACCCAGUAAUCAAGGAAUCGGUGGAGACGCAUGCAGAUUUAACGGGUCAUCCUCGUGGUUGGAACACGAGGACUACUUCUAAUGAUUAUUCUUUCUACCCAUCCAUAAAACCAUUUCCGGAUCCUGAUCAUAAAGCCUACACCCUAGGGACUAGGAUGGUAGAAAAGGGUCUCGGUUGGGAUGGUCAUACCGUGGAAUAUGUCCCUUGUAUCGAAGGCAAUGUAGAGUGGGGAGUUACCAUUCUGAAUAAUCAUUCAUUUUGCUUAAGAGGAGAAGAGGAAAACACUGAUUACAUAUUCGGGGCUAUUUAUUGCUCCCUAGGUAAAUACAAAGUAUCUGAUAUGUUGUUAAGAUCAUUACUGGAAAGAUGGAAUCCAGAUACAAACACUUUCCUUUUCGCUGCUGGUGAGCGCACCGUGACCCUGCUGGACAUGCUUCUAAUGUCGGGCCUUCCUUCAAUUGGAGAUCCAUAUGCAGAGUAUCUUCCUUCCGUAGAUGAUCUAGAAAUCUCCAAGCUUAUGUUCCAAACUUCUUUUCUAGUCUCCUCGGAGAAUUCUAUCAGCUCGAACGUGAACAUGGAAGUGUAACUUUCCAAGUUUGGUGUGAUCAUUUCUACAACAAACGAGAACGCACUUCGUCUUUCACCUCUCGCCGAGAACAACAAAUAUACGUUGCAGCUUUUAUUGCCCUUUGGCUGUGCUGUUACGUGGUUGUCGGUAAGGGAGCUUAUAUCCGCCCUGGUGUUCUUAUUGGCCUCUUGGAUCGUUUUCGGUUGCAAGAUUUCUUUAGCUCCAUCGGCACUUUGUUCAUUGUAUUAUUCUCUUCGGAGGAUUAGUACCCAUCCUGUAGGCCCUGCGUAUGAAAAGAGAAUUUGGUCGGUACAUUUUAUUGCGGGGUGGAUGGGUCUUUAUCUGAGAAGACUAUUCAAGGACAGAGCCAAAGGGACAUGUCUUCCCAAUGUUAGAGGCUUCAAAAUUCGUCCGACCAUGGUUAAUACUAUGUUUCGGGAGCCCAAAGUCUUUAGUCCUGCUGGGGCGCGAAAAUUCCAUGAAGUUAGAGUUAGUAGCUUUUGGAAUCCUUAUCAUCCAUCCAAUUUAGUUGGGGUAGCUCAGCUUCAAAGGUCAUUUGCCAUUUCCUCUCAUCGUGGUAUGCUUCCGUGGAGAUGUGCUACCGAGCUUGAUGAUCUCUGUAUAGCAGAGCCGUACCAUCCCGAUCGAGUCGCCCAUCAAUUCACUUUAAGGCAACUGUUGCCCUAUCCUCCCUUAAUAAGCUUGUGCACAAAGGAAGAUAUUGGAGUUGCAUAUGCGUAUUGGUUACAUCUGCUACAGACAGACCAAGGGGAGUUCAAGUCUAUGCUCAAUGGGGAGCGUAAGGAGGAUCUUUCAUCUGUACACUGGAACCAUUGGUGUGUCGGAUUUAUAAAGCCCUUUAAUGAUAUAUUUGAUACUCUCUCUCCGGGUAUCUCGAAGGGUCAGAAUUAUAAUUCAUGGAAGCGUGCUUUUCUGGCAUGCGGGGAAAAGUUUAUGAUUCCUCGCAAGAUCUCAGGAAAGGACCUCAUUGUCAUAAAGGAAGUAUCAGAAAGCGGCAAGGAAGAGCAUAUUGCAGCCCUCAUAGCAAAAGGAAAAAGAGUAAUGGAUCAUUGGACUCUAAUUCUUUCGGAUUUUCUCUCCAAUGAUGAACCUGUCAGGAUUUCUAACAAGGUAGGUUAUAUAUAAUUUUCUAUCAUGGUUUAGUUGUGCUUGUUUCCCUCUUUUUUUUUAACAUAUAUACUGUUUUGUCGUAGAAGCGAAAGCUAAAAGCUGCUGCAGAAUGCUCUUCUUCUGUUGACAAGACUCCGAUUAGUGGGACAGAAGGAACUCAUAUGACUGAAAAUAGCUCUCUGGAGGAGGAGUCGACGCCUGCUACCAAAAGAAAGCUUGAUGCUAUGGAUACUGAGAGUGAUUAUAGUCCUAUAGAACUGGACGUACCUCUCCAUGAGGAUAACAUUAGUGGUGUAGAUUUAGAUGGGGUACUGUGUGGAGACAUAGAUCAUGGUUUAGGUGAUCUGGAUGAUUUAAACAUAGAUGAUUAUGUUGGGACAGAAUCAUUGGAAGCUUUGCCCAGGCUUGAGCACAAACACGUCUCCUGUAGACGACUAUUCCACUAUUUCACCUGCUUUCGCACAUGCUAGUUUUACUUUAUUAAUUGUAUUACGCCAUAUACUUUAUCCUUAUUGAUUUACUCAUUUAUCUCUUGACCAUUUGUAGGUACCGAAGACGUCCCUGUUGUUGACAAGGAGCUAUUAGUCGAAACUGCAGUGCCAACCAUGGACGUUAUCACGN